GAGGAACUAGUGGCAAUUCAGUUAACACAUAAGCCAAACGCUUGUGUCAGAAGGAACAGAUGUGACUAUGGAUCACAAUUAUACACCAAAGGAGUACCCUACUCUUUCCUGGGAUGUUCAACAUUCCAACAACAAUGCUCAGUUUCUUAAGAUAGAGAAGACAAUAAAAAAAAUAAUAAAUAAAUAAAUAAAUAAACAAACAAACAAACCUUUGGAGCCAAAAAUCUUAAAGAAAAGAACUUCACCCAUUGUGAAAUAUUCAGUCCAGUGAUCAGACUCCACUAUGUACCACUGCCUUCGGGGAGA